UCGUCCGAAUACACAAUGGUUUUCGCACUCUAACUUUAGUUUAAGUGAAUGGAUCUCUAUGAAAUUUUACCAUAAGGUUAAAUACCAUAAAAGGAAGGUUGGGAUUGAUUUUGGGGGUUAUGGUACCAACAGUUAAGGAAUUAGGGGCCAAAAAGGGGCCAAAAAUGAGCAUUUUCUAGUUUCCAGACAAUAACUGUGGAACGGUGUAUGGAUCUCUCUGAAAUUAUACUACAAGUUUCCAUACCACAAAGGGAUGGUUAGGAUUUGCUUUGGGGGGUUAUGGCUCAAACCGUUUAGGAAUUACGGGCAAAAAAGGGGGAAAAACAAGGUUGUCCUGGUUAAUGGACAAAUACUUUAGUACAAAACAUAAUUUAAAGCAGUGUAAGGGAGAUAAAUCAAAUACAUCAUUGAAAUUAUCUCCCUUACACUGCUUUUAAAUUAUGUAUAAAGUAAUGGUUUAUGAACAAUAAAGAUAAUCUAAAACAGUGUAAGGGAGGUAAUCCAAAUACAACGUUUUGGUUACUUCCCUUACACUGCUUUUAAAUUAUGUUUAAAGAAAUGCAUAUUUAUAAAGGAAGACCAGUAAAAAUAUCUGCAAAUGUUUUCAUCUUUUUUUUUUACAAAAAAAUCCAUAUGAAAGAUUUGACACUAUAUUUUUAUUAAUUCUAUUAUAAAAUAGAUUAAGUUAGCACUAUGGUAAAUUUAAAUGGGUAAUUAUGGUUGCCAACUCCAUUGGAAAUUUGAAUUGAGAUUAUGACCAUAUCUUGAGGGAAAGAAUUUUUUUGGGGGAAAAAGGGGGGGAGGGGGAUAAAAAGAAAUUGUGGGGGGCCAAUUUUUUCUCAUUUCAGAUUUCAGAAAUUAAAAAGAAUUAUUCUUCAAAUAUUAUUUUUUUUUCAAAUUUCAAAUAUUGAAAAAUUUCAAGAAGUAAUCUUUAAUUGCACAGUAUGGCGCAUUAGAUUUGUAAAAUCUUUGAUCACAUUUAUUUAUUUGUUAUGGCGAAUCAAACAGUGUAUUUAGAUUUUUAAUUUUGGGUCCAGUUUUCAAAUUGGUCUACAUUAAUGUCCAAAGGGUCCAAAAUUAAACUUUGUUUGAUUUUAGCAAAAAUUGAAUAUAUGAGGUUCUUUGAUAUGCUGAAUCUAAACAUGUAUUUAGAUUUUUGAUUUUUGGCCCAGUUUUCAAGUUGGUCCAAAUUGGGGUCCAAAAUUAAACUUUGUUUGAUUUCAACAAAAAUUGAAUAUAUGGGGUUCUUUGAUAUGCUGAAUCUAACCAUGUAUUUAGAUUUUUUAUUUGUGGACCCCGUUAUCUAAUUGGUUCAUAUUGAGGUCAAAAGGGUCCAAAAUUAAACUUUGUUUGAUUUCAUCUAAAAUUGAAUUAUUGGGGUUCUUUGAUAUUCCAAAUCUAACCGUGUAUUUAGAUUUUUAAUUUUAAGUCCCGUUUUUUAAAUUGGUCUACAUUAAGGUCCAAAAUUAAACUUAGUUUGAUUUUAGCAAAAAUUGAAUUCUUGGGGUUCUUUGAUAUGCUGAAUCUAAACAUGUGUUUAGAUUUUUGAUUAUGGGCCCAGUUUUCAAGUUUGUCCAAGUUGGGGUCCAAAAUUAAACUUUGUUUGAUUUUAACAAAAAUUGAAUAUAUGGGGUUCUUUGAUAUGCUGAAUCUAACCAUGUAUUUUGAUUUUGGACAUUGGACCAUAAUAGGUAAAUUAAAAAAAUUCAAGUCCUUAGACCACAUUCUUUCUGUGUCAGAAACCUAUGCUGUGUCAAAUAUUUAAUAACAAUCCAAAUUCAGAGCUGUAUCAAGCUUGAAUGUUGUGUCCAUACUUGCCCCAACUGUUCAGGGUUCGACCUCUGCGGUCGUAUCAAGCUGCGCCCCAGCGAAGCAUUUUAUUUGCUAUGUUUAGCCAUGACUA